rnacentral:lncRNA from 1 species
GCUAGUUUGAACUAUCCAAUGAUGUUCUUAGCUCUUCAAGUCAAUUUUGGAUAUUUUUAAGCACCAAAUUCAAUCGAAAAAAAUAGAUCUUUUUUAUUUUUGAAAAAGAAAGCAAUAAUAGAGUGAAAAGAAGAAAAGAACACUUAAGAGAGCAUUCUUGUCCAUCUUCCAACCACUCAGUUGAAAUGAAAAAAGCUUGAAAGCGUUGAUUGAGUAACCUAUAGCUAGAACAUUUUUUUCAAGCAUUUAAUCAAGCUUCUCACAAGCAUUCAAGGAGGAAGUUAUUGCAUUCAACAGACAUCUGCAUCGACUUCCUUAGGCUAUAAAUAUUUCUCAUUUUUUUGAACUCUAAUUAUUACUCAUUGUAUUCUUGAGUUUUUAGCAAGUUUCUUGAGGAUAGAAAAUUGGGGAUUCAAGGUGGUCCAAGCUUGUAAUUCGAUGAUUGUAAUUGACUAAGUCAAGGGGACUUAGUUGGAAAGUUUUGAUUGGUGAACUUGUGUAAAAUCAAUUGGAUUGUUUGUAAUUUUGGUGAAAAUAAUCAUGCUAUAAUCAAGAAGAUUAUAAUAAAUUUUCAAGUAGUGAGACUUGAAGAGUAGACAUAGGUGCUGAGUUUAGCACCAAAGCACUAUAAAAAUAUAUUAUUUUUGGGAUGUGUAAUUGUUUGUUUUUAGCUUUCACCACUUAUCAUAUUUCUCUUCUUCAACUUCACAAGCAUAGUUUUAAAUUGAUAGUUAGUGCACCCAAUUCACCUUCCUUUUGGUUUGUUACUUCUAGAUAACAAAAAGUCCAAACAUGUUACGUAAAAUCUGAUUGUGUGGGGACACCAGAGAUUAAUCUAAACCCAAGGAACCUGGAGAUCGUUGAUGCCCUAGGGUGAGCCAGAGAAGGAAAAAAAGAGAAGAGAGAGCUAGGGU